rnacentral:rRNA from 1 species
AUUAGAGUUUGAUCCUGGCUCAGAACGAACGCUGGCGGCGCGUCUUAAGCAUGCAAGUCGGGCGGCAGCCGCAGCGAUGCGGCGAGAGCGGCGGACGGGUGAGUAACGCGUGGACAACCGACCCUCCGGACGGGGAUAGCCGCGGGAAACUGCGGAUAAUACCGGAUACGACCCGGGGAGCGAAGGCGCUCCGGGGGAAAGCCGCUGCGGCGGCGCCGGGGGACGGGUCUGCGUCCCAUCAGCUAGACGGCGGGGUGAAGGCCCACCGUGGCGACGACGGGUAGCCGGCCUGAGAGGGUGGACGGCCACAUUGGGACUGAGAACGGCCCAGACUCCUACGGGAGGCAGCAGCUAAGGAUCUUCCGCAAUGGGCGAAAGCCUGACGGAGCGACGCCGCGUGGACGAUGGAGGCCGUGAGGUUGUAAAGUCCUUUUCCGUGGGGUGAAGAGCCGUGCCAGGGAAUGGGUGCGGGGUGACGUGACCACGGGAAUAAGCCCCGGCUAACUACGUGCCAGCAGCCGCGGUAAUAAU